CUAAGAUGAGAGAGGGGGGGGUUCGGUAAUAAGAUGGCGGCUGGAGGGUCCCGGGGAGAGAAAAGUAAAUCCGGACGCCCCAUGGCCUAACAUCUCUUCUCCUCUCCCCGAGAUGUCCCGCUAUUUAAAAUGAAUAGCAAGGAGUGUGCCGAGGUCUCAGAGAACGGCCACCAUAUCAAGGUUUUUCUACCCAAGAAGCUGCUGGAGUGUUUGCCGAAGUGUACUGCUCUACCUAAGGAGAGGCUGCGCUGGAACACCAAUGAGGAAAUCGCCUCUUACCUCAUUACCUUUGAGAAGCAUGACGAGUGGCUGUCUUGUGCCCCCAAAACCAGACCCCAAAAUGGCUCCAUCAUCCUAUACAACCGCAAGAAGGUGAAAUAUCGCAAAGAUGGCUACUGCUGGAAGAAGCGCAAAGACGGCAAGACAACGCGAGAAGAUCACAUGAAGCUGAAGGUGCAGGGGAUGGAGUGCCUGUACGGCUGCUACGUCCACUCCUCCAUCGUCCCAACAUUUCACCGCCGCUGCUACUGGCUGCUACAGAACCCGGAUAUUGUCCUAGUGCACUAUCUGAAUGUUCCUGCCAUUGAGGACUGCGGGAAGAUCUGCGGGCCCAUCCUCUGCUCCACCAGCAGUGACCGAAAGGAAUGGAUGAAGUGGAGCAAGGAAGAGCUGAUCAGCCAACUGAAGCCCAUGUUUCAUGGCAUUAAAUGGUCUUGCAGUAAUGGAAAUGGAACCAGUGAAUUCUCCAUAGAGCAGCUGGUGCAGCAGACGCUGGAGACUCACCAGGCCAAACCUCCACCCCGCACCCACACCUGUCUGUGUACCACCAACCUUGGGUCAGCUGGCAGUGUCCCUCACAAAUGUACCAGCACCAAGCACCGCAUCAUCUCUCCAAAAGUGGAGCCUCGACUCUGCCCAUUCCCUGCCCUUACAGAGGUGCAGAACAUCUCGUCAACCUCUGCUGAGCCUGACCAGGGAAAGGAACGGAGGCCUGGCCAAAAGGGAAACAAGACGCCUAUGGCCAAUGACCCCAGCUCCUCACAUUCCUUCUCAGACCUUCCAGACACCACUCAGACUUCACCGCCACUGACACUUACCAACGGUUUCUAUGCUGACCGCGAGCUGGCCGGAGUCACCAUAACGACCACUCCUGGGGUACCAGGGAUUAGCGCUGUGCUUGUGAUGACGGGCAUAGCUGAAAAACCCCUAGCAUUGACACCAAGUCAACACCUGAUGCCAGGCGACACUGCGAGCCAACCUGCCACAGUCCCGGUUGGCAUUUCCUUGUUGCCUUCUCCAGUGGAGAGACUCUUACUGUCUUCUUCACAUAGCCUGGAGGUAGCAAUGGACUCUGCCCCGGGGGGCAGCAAUGGAACGUUUGACCCUGACUCCUUCCUCAACAGCCCUAAAGAAGGACAGACUUAUGGAGGAGCAGCAAAGACAGAUGACUUCAAGUCUGAGACAUCCGAUGGAGGGAUGGUGGGCAGUCAGGUGGCAGCUUAUGUGGAAGAAGACGAGCUGUUGCCAAAUGGUGAAAUGGUAACCAGCGUAAAGGAGGAGACGGCCAAUGUGAAGAAGACAAGAGUGGAGCAGGAGCCUAACAAUGUGAAGGAGGAGGCCAGCCGGGGGUCAGAGGUUGAGAUGGAGGACACCAGGGAAGGGCAGGUCAGCUCCAGCGACGAAGUGAAUGCAGACGUUGUCUCCUCAGGAGAAGUGCAGGAAGACUCUGACGCCCCCAGCACCCACAUGAACGACUUGUACUCCAUCAUCCAGAAUGACCUGAGCUCAUCGUCUGGAGCCUCCAGCGUCCACAUGGAACUCUCAGCCGAAAACUUCAACAUCUCCUUCGACAGUCAGUUUCCAGACCUUAUCUCUGACCUCAUGACUGAAGAAGCCGCUCCUGGAGGUUACGAACAGUUCGGAGAUCCCCAGACGACUUCUUCACCUGUCCAGGCAAUGUAUGGACCCCCACAGCAGCAACAGCACCAGCCCAUGAGUGGGAACACGCCCGGCAUUACCGAUCCUUUCCCUGAGGCGGGAGAUGGGGCCACAGGGCUUGUCGGAAUCACAGACUUCUCUCCAGAAUGGUCCUACCCAGAGGGUGGAGUUAAGAUUCUCAUCACCGGCCCGUGGCUGGAGGACACCGAUGCCUACUCCUGCAUAUUUGAUCAUGUGACUGUGCCAGCCUCGCUCAUCCAAUCCGGAGUCUUACGAUGCUACUGCCCAGCGCAUGAGGCCGGCCUGGUCGCCCUGCAGGUCGUACAGCGCCAGCAGAUCAUCUCGCACUCCGUCAUCUUCGAGUACAGGGCAAGGAACUUCUUGUCACUGCCCAGCACCCAGCUCGACUGGCUGUCCCUGGAUGACAAUCAGUUCAGGAUGUCUAUACUGGAGCGUCUGGAGCAGAUGGAACGUCGGAUGGCAGAUAUGAGCUCUGGACAGCACCAGCCGUCGGCGGGAACACCGUGCGGCCCCCGCGGAGGAGACCACCAGGUGUCGGCGGCCGAUACCUUUGAAGCUCGCCUGGUUGCUGUCUGUGAGAAGAUGAUGUCACAGACCUGCUGGGUGACAUCAGACCUUCUGGCACACGAGAUGAGUUUCCGAGGGAUGACCCUGCUACACCUGGCCGCGGCUCAGGGCUAUGCCCGUCUUAUUGAGACCCUGAUUCAGUGGAGGAGCCUCCACUCUCAGAGCCUUGCUGUGGAAUUGGAGGUCGACCCUCUGAACGUGGAUCACUUCUCCUGCACACCCCUGAUGUGGGCCUGCGCUCUAGGACACACUGAGGCUGCCACACUGCUCUUCCGCUGGGACUGCAGAGCCCUAACCAUACCGGACUCCCUGGGGCGACUUCCUUUGGGAGUCGCCCGAUCACGAGGGCAUGUGAAGCUGGCAUCUACCCUAGAAGAGAUGCAGAGGCAGGACAUGGCGCGUGGAAACUUCACGGAUUUGCAGCAGUCAAGCUGGCAGUCGCUCGUGGGAAGUCAGGAGAUCAGUCGAGGGCUCUCUCCUCUGUCGACCAGCGCCGAUACGGGUCUCAGCAGCCUCCCCUCCCCCUCAGAGGUAUCAGAUGGGUCUGUCUCAGUAACCUCUGCGUAUUCCAGUAGUUCUGCCCUACGCGGCUCACCUGACUGCAGCCCAGAGAGCAGUCAAGACGCCCCAGUAGAGACGCCCCCCAAUUCUAGGAUACUGGGAGCUGCUUCAUGGGAGCUGGAGGACCCCAUAGAACACAUCUCCUACCUGGACUCUCCUGGAGUAGAUGAAGCUGAUCUCAUUGAGUAUCAGGAGGACACGGAGAACCAGGACUAUCUGCAGGUUGAUAUGGUUACCCUCGCAGAACAGAUCAUAGAAGCCACCCCAGACCGCAUCAAGCAGGACGACUUCACAGCAUCCGACUCUGCGGCUCUCAGAGAGAGGUCCGGAAAUCUCAGCAAGACCAUGGCGUGGCUCGCCAGCUACCUAGACACUGCCGACCAGAUGCCUGGGUUACCCCCUCAUGGGGAGGGGAUGCGUGCAGCUCGUGCUUUGGCUCGCUUUGCACAGAUGAACCCAGGAGAGGACGGCGGUAACCUGGCAUCAGAGAUUGGCGGUUAUGGGCAGCGCUUCAAACGGGUGAAUAGAAGAUCCAUGGAGGGGUUACGUGUCAAGGUGACACGAUCCGAGGCGCCGCCGUCCCCGACAACUCCUCCUCCUCUAGGUGAGAUCUCCUUUGAAAGAUUUGAUCCCCCUGGUGCCGCACGAUGGUCAGAGUUCCUCAGUGCCUCAAGUAGUGGACGCAUGGAAAGUGAGUUUGCUCUGCUGACCCUCUCGGACCAUGAGCAGCGGGAACUGUACGAGGCGGCUCGAGUUAUCCAGACGGCCUUCCGCAAGUACAAGGGACGACGACUGAAGGAACAACAGGACUUGGCGGCUGCGGUCAUUCAGCGUUGCUAUCGGAAAUAUAAGCAGUACGCGCUAUACAAGAAGAUGACGCAGGCGGCCAUCCUGAUCCAGUCCAAGUUCCGCAGCUAUUAUGAGCAGAAGCGUUUCCAGCAGAGCCGCCGGGCUGCUGUGCUGAUUCAGCAAUGUUAUCGCAGCUACAGAGAAGGGGCCCGGCGGGGCCCUGCAAUACAACAUCGCAUGAAGGGGUCAUUUCUCACAAAGAAGCAGGACCAGGCUGCUCGCAAGAUCAUGCGCUUUCUCCGUCGUUGUCGUCACAGGUAUAGAGUGGGUCAGAAACGCUACGAGGCACAGUCCGCAUCUAGUGGUUAGGAAUGGUAUCUAGUGAUCAGGAACGUUCUGAAGAAAGGUCGGCAAUAUAUUGGUGGGGAGCAUUAUGAGGUAGGGUCACCAUCUUGUGGUUAGGAACACUGAGGGCAGCUUACCGUCUAGUGGUCAAGAACAUUGUGUGGUAGGGUCACCAUCCAGUGGUCCUGAACAUUAUGAGGUUUGCUCACCAUCUAGUGGUCAGGAACAUUAUGAGGUAGGGUCGCCAUCUAGCGGUCAGGAACAUUGAGGUAGGGUUGCCAUCUAGUGGUCAGGAACAUUAUGAGGUAGGGUUGCCAUCUAGUGGUCAGGAACAUUUUGAGGUAGGGUCGCCAUCUAGUGGUCAGGAACAUUAUGAGGUAGGGUCGCCAUCUAGCGGUCAGGAACAUUGAGGUAGGGUCGCCAUCUAGUGGUCAGGAACAUUAUGAGGUAGGGUUGCCAUCUAGCAGUCAGGAAAAUUGAGGUAGGGUCGCCAUCUAGCAGUCAGGAACAUUUUGAGGUAGGGUCGCCAUCUAGCAGUCAGGAACAUUUUGAGGUAGGGUCGCCAUCUAGCAGUCAGGAACAUUUUGAGGUAGGGUCGCCAUCUAGCAGUCAGGAACAUUUUGAGGUAGGGUCGCCAUCUAGCAGUAAGGAACAUUAUGAGGUAGGGUCGCCAUCUAGCAGGCAGGAACAUUCUGAGGUAGGGUCGCCAUCUAGCAGUCAGGAACAUUAUGAGGUAGGGUCGCCAUCUAGCAGUAAGGAACAUUAUGAGGUAGGGUCGCCAUCUAGCAGUAAGGAACAUUAUGAGGUAGGGUCGCCAUCUAGCGGUCAGGAACGUUAUGAGGUAGGGUCGCCAUCUAGCGGUCAGGAACGUUAUGAGGUAGGGUCGCCAUCUAGCGGUCAGGAACAUUAUGAGAUAGGGUCGCCAUCUAGCGGUCAGGAACAUUGAGGUAGGGUCGCCAUCUAGCGGUCAGGAACAUUAUGAGAUAGGGUCGCCAUCUAGCGGUCAGGAACAUUGAGGUAGGGUCGCCAUCUAGCGGUCAGGAACAUUGAGGUAGGGUCGCCAUCUAGCGGUCAGGAACAUUAUGAGAUAGGGUCGCCAUCUAGCGGUCAGGAACAUUGAGGUAGGGUCGCCAUCUAGCGGUCAGGAACAUUAUGAGAUAGGGUCGCCAUCUAGCGGUCAGGAACAUUGAGGUAGGGUCGCCAUCUAGCGGUCAGGAACGUUAUGAGAUAGGGUCGCCAUCUAGCAGUCAGGAACAUUGAGGUAGGGUCGCCAUCUAGCAGUAAGGAACAUCAUAUGAGGUAGGGUCGCCAUCUAGCAGUAAGGAACAUUAUGAGGUAGGGUCGCCAUCUAGCGGUCAGGAACGUUAUGAGGUAGGGUCGCCAUCUAGUGGUCAGGAACAUUAUGAGGUAGGGUCGCCAUCUAGUGGUCAGGAACAUUAUGAGGUAGGGUCGCCAUCUAGUGGUCAGGAACAUUAUGAGGUAGGGUCGCCAUCUAGUGGUCAGGAACAUUAUGAGGUAGGGUCGCCAUCUAGUGGUCAGGAGUAAGGCUACAAGGUAUUAUGAGCUCUGUGAUCACCCCACUAAUAUAGAUCAUGACUAGAGGUGAGCGAGUUUCAUAUUAUGAAAUUCGUUCACGCUUCGUUUGGUGGUAAAAGCAGAAUUGCGUUAUGGAUUCCGUUACCACGGACCAUAACGCAGUUCUAUGCCUCUAAAGGCGUUCCGUUAUGCAUUCCCUCAUAGAAUUGCGUUACGGUCCGUGGUAACGGAAUCCAUAACGCAAUUCUGCUUUUACCACCAAACGAAGCGUGAAGAAUCUCCAUAACCUGAACUUGGCUGACCCCUAGUCCUGACCUGUGCACCCCCUCCUGAGGGGUCCCUCACUCGGUUCUCUUUCCGCUGCACAGGAUGAAGGAGAUAAAGCAGACGCAGGAUCUGGACUGUUUACAGAAGAGGGGGCUGACCAAUUAACCCCUUGCUCCUGAUGGAUCGGCGCACUUCCUGGAACGCAGAGCCUCAGUGUGCACCGCCCAUGUGUGUGUGUAAAUAUUCCUGUGUGGUAUCACUCGUAACUCUUAAUGAGCUGCUCCGCGAGGCGCAGCGCCCCCGCCUGUGUGUAUCUGCAGUGCGCACAGGCGCAUGUACAUAGGCUAUCCUGUACAAAUCUGUCUAUAUAUAUUUAUGCACGUCCUUCCCAGUGUAUGGCCCUGGUGGGACCCCCUAUGUACACGUGUGGUGUAUACAUGUGCGGGGGAGGCCGGGUACCAUUGCAUGUGGCUGUAAUGUGCGCGUGUAUAUAUCCGUAUAUAAAUAUAUACAUAUAUAUAUAUAGGGUUGUGUGUGUAUAUACAUAUAUAUAUCUGUACAUUUGUGGCGAGGGUCACGUGAGCAUCACACUCAGGCAGCUGAAUUAUUUAUUUCGCUGGUGUCAUUUCAUGCACUUUGGUUUAUUAUUAUACAGUUAUUACGUCUUUGUGUGUCUCUUUUUUUACGGUUCUUGCAGGACAUUUUUCAUCCGUUUUCCGUUGUUUUUGUCUGUUUUUUUUAUAAAGCUUUUUUUAGUCGUUGUUUUACAUUGUCCUGAAAGAUGAGAGCGGCGGAGGCAUCAAGUCCUCCGGGGUCCGGCGGGAGGGGAGGGCGCACAGAUACGGGAUCUCCACGUUAGCCGGUAAGCGCCUGGGCGUCGCCGGCAGAGGUCGCCGUCAUGGGAGCGUCUAUUGCACUAUUAUUGGGGGGGGGGGGGGGGUUUGUUCGUCCUCUCGCUACCCACGGCUGUCGGAACCAGCGGCGAGUGACACGUUUCAGAGCCUGCCUGCGGUCAGAUUUUGCCAUUUAACACUUUUUACGUAAACCUUUUCGCACUGCUGAAGCGGGGAGUAUAAAACGAAAGGCGAAACUUUAUAUGGAGGGUCCGGUAUACGCACAAAGUAAAUGUGAGAAUGAUGUCGGGGUCUCGCAUGUAAUUAAGUGUCUGGCUGCGGGCGACGUCUGUGCCCUUGGAUAUAUUUUUUUUCUCCUAUUUGCCGUUUACUUGUUUUGGCAUUUUGUGUUUUUGUAAUUUAUUUUCCUUUUUCUGUCAAAUUAUUUCAUUUUCCCUUCUGCACUUUAUUUUAAGAUUUUUUUUGCUUAAUAUUUUUUUUUAUUCCCCGCUUUGGCUAUAAAACACUGAAGGGAAUCGGGAAAGUUGAGCUGAAUAAUUUUUUUUUGUAGUUUUAUUAUCCUUGUUUUUUCAGUGAUAACACUAAAUAUUUUUUGUCUUUUCACCAAGGCUGAAAUAACAUGGAGAAUUAGAACAUGUAACGUAUUAUUCCAGUGUUUGUUUUUUUUGCCUGGUUUUUUAACGAUUCCUAACUUUCUAAAAUUACCUUUUUAGAUAGUUUUUUUUUUUUUCCUCAAAGCGGCCCUCUGGUUCAAGAC